AGUUGGUGAUGUGAAGUCACAAAUUUAGAAGUCAGAGUGAGGGUGACUUUUAUGUAAAUGAAUAUUUUAGUUGAAUAACCGAUGUUCGAUAAUGAUUUACCCCCCUUAUGGUGAUAGACUAAUGUGGUAACUAGUAGCAUGUGUUGAUGGUAUGGUAGUCCGUGGAGGAAGUGUUUGACUCCGAUUUUAUUUAUACAGAGUAAGAUGUGUAUUCUUAGUUCAUUAGGUAUUGCGUAUUAAAUUUCUAUCUCAUGUAAUCUUGUCAUCAAGG
rnacentral:lncRNA from 1 species